GCACGCGGGCGUGUGAGUGUGUGCAGUCUAAUUUCCUUCAUCGCUCUGCUUCUCUCUCUACAAUAUAUAACUGACUACCUGAUUGACUGAUAGACUGACAAACAGACAGACUGACUGAGUGACUGAACAAGGCUUUUGUUAUUUGCAUUUCUUUUUCGUUUGAUACUAACGAUUGAACGACUAACUGACUGAUAUUUCGCUCUAAAUGACUAGCUGACUGACUAACUGGCUGACCGACUGACUGACAGACUAUAACAUAUCAAUCAUCUCUUUUUCCAGCCUUGACAACUGAUAAAGUAGUUAUGAAUGUUUUUUUUUUUUUUGCUGCUCUUUAGUACGUGUUUAUUUAAUUAACCCACUAACUGACAAAUUGACUAAUUGACUGACUGACUGACUGAUUGACUGAGUGACUGAAUGACUGGGCCACGAAACUGAACACUUCCUCCUUCAGUGACAUGAUUCAACUGCUGACACUCACAUCUGUUCGUCUGUCUGUAUGUCUAUCUGUGCGUUUGUCUAUCUGUCUGUUUGUUCGUCCGUCCUUCUGUCUCUAGUUUGUAUUGCAUCAGUCACUGUCUGUGUGUCAAACUUUCUUAUAAAUAGAUAGAAGGACACACGUAAAUACAGAGAGAGAGAGAGAGAGAGAGAGAGAGAGAGAGAGAGAGAGAGGCGAGAGAGAGAGAGAGACCUUGCUUACUCACGAAUCCCGCUGAACUCUGGCGGCGCGCUUCGAGUAGUUAUCAAACCUCAGGCAACGUGAAGUCAAAAAAAAAAAAAAAAAAAUCUGGUGGAGUUUGUGUGAGUGUCAGUGUGUGUGUGUGUGUGUGUGUGUGUGUGUGUAACUAAUCUUCAUGUAGCUGAUUGCGUAAAGUGGCGCUGGUGUAACAUUGCUUUUUUCCUGUCCGUUGUCUGCCCUGCUGGGGUCCACGUAACGCUUAUCAGGGCAGGGAGGACGAUUUGUGGCAGUGGGCGAGGGACACCAGCUGCUUGCGAGGCGGCGGCGCACCUCAAGGCACCAGGAAGGAGAGCACCAGCCUUGCUGUAGACGUGUGGCGUGUGCCGCGAGCUACGACAGGAGCACGGCUGGCAGGAGGGGCAGGAGGGGUACUUUUUUGUCAACUUUCCUGCAACGUCACAUCGGCGGCACGCUGAAUCUUGCCCCAUAACAUCAUUGCCGAGAGCUUGCUGUGAUCUCUCUCGAAGGGUUACAUCUGGCACCUGGGACACCAUAUCUGGCACCUCUGCCACUCACUCCUCUUCCCAAUCACCUUAUAUAACCAGGCGAAGGAGGCGACGUGGCGCAGUCUGAUAGCUGGCCUGCCUCAGGGUUUCGAAAGAGCGUGUUCAGGAAUGCCACGAUGUCCUCACUUCCACACCGCCACCAUGACAUGCAAGAGGAAGCGGCUUUCUGAUUGGUCACUCUCCCCGGAAGCUUCCUCGUUAUUGGGUUGCACCGCGUGGGGAGCGAGGAAAGAGUAUAAAAUGACGUGAUGAAGGACGUCAUGGGCAGGACAUCCCGUGGUGCCUCUGCAUGUCCAGCGGAUGUAGAGAGAGAGAGAGAGAGAGAGAGAGAGAGAGAGAGAGAGAGAGAGAGAGAGAGAGAGAGAGAGAGAGAGAGAGAAGUGAAAGGAAUAGCUAAUGAUAUGGGCAAAAGAAAAAAAACACGAUAACAGAUAAAUAAAUAAAAUUAAUGGAUAAAAGAAAGACAAAGCAAAAAAGUUAAGAAAUUCAUUGAAAAAUAGACAAAUGGGGACUCAUGUUCAUAACAAAUAAUCACACAAACAAACAAAUAAACAAAGAAACAAACAAAUAUGAGUGAUGCAGUACAUAAAAAAAAAUUAAAGGAAGGAAAUGAGAGAGAGAGAGAGAGAGAGAGAGAGAGAGAGAGAGAGAGAGAGAGAGAGAGAGAGAGAGAGAGAGAGAGAGAGAGAGAAUGUGCGCACACACGCACACACACACACACACACACACACACACACACACACACACACACACACACACACACACACAAAAGCGCGCGCGCGCGCGCGCUCCUGCACAAGCACACACAGGAAAGGCAAUGCUUAUCUGUUACUCAUAAGGAAAAAAAACGUUUGAGUUGUUACUGUUUCCUUUCCAACGUGACUGUCAAGCACUUGUAUGGGUAUUCUACCUAAGGGGCCUGUAACACUGGUAACGGUGGCAGCAACAACAACAAUGGUAGUUCUAGUAGCAGCAGCAGCAGCAACAGCAGUAGUAGUAGUAGUAAUUAUAGUAGUAGUAGUAGUAGUAGUAGUAGUAGUAGUAGUAGUAGUAGUAGUAGUAGUAGUAGUAAUAGUAAUAGUAGUAAUAGUAGAAAGAGUAGUAGCAACGCAGCAGUAGCAACAGCAGCAGCAGCAGCAGCAACAGCAGCAGUAGCAGUAGCAGUAGCAGUAGUAGUAGUAGUAGUAGUAGUAGUAGUAGUAGUACUAGUAGUAGUAGUAGUAGUUGUUGUUGUUGUUGCUGUUAUUCUAGUAGUAGUAGUAGUAGUAGCAGUAGUAGUAGCAGUAGUGGUAGUAGUAAUAGUAGUAGUAGUAACAGUAGUAGUAGCAGUAGUUGUAGUAAUAGUAGUAGAAGCAGUAGUAGUAGUAGUAGCAGUUGUUGUUGUUGUUAUUAUUGUUGUUUUUGUUGAUGAUGUUGUUGUAAUUAUCGUUACAAUGAUACCAACAACAAUAGUAGUAGUAGUAGUAGUAGUAGUAGUAGUAGUAGUAGUAGUAGUAGUAGUAGUAGUAGUAGUAGUAGUUAGUAGUAGUAGUAGUAGUAGUAGUAGUAGUAGUAGUAGUAGUUGUAGUAGUAGUAGUAGUAGUAGUAAUAGUAGAAAUAGUAGUAGUAGUACCACAAAUGGACCACAAAUGUCCCCAGGUCGGACUGGUCUUCUAGUAUCGAUCCUAAGUGUCUUGAUACCCCCUCAACUUUUCUUCAACUUUUGCAACAUUCGUGGUCUUAGAUCUAAUUUUCAGUCUGUAGAACACCACCUCUCCUCUACUAAAACUCAUCUUCUUUUCCUCACUGAAACACAGGUGUCUGGGGCAACUAACAGUAGCCCCUUUUCUGUUCCCUCCUACUUUCUCUAUCCUCAUUUUCAAUCCAAAGCUGGAUGUUGCGUUUAUGUGCGCAACGACUUAACCUACUCUUGUGCCCACGCUCUUGAAUCUUCCGAGAUUUCCACCAUCUGGAUACGACUACAGAGUCACUCUCAAACUAAAUUUAUCUGUGCUGUAUACGAGUACUUCUCACCUAAUUCCUCUGACUAUAAGAAUUCUUUGACUACUUCCAAAGUGGAGCACAUUCUGACUCUCUUCCCUUCUGCGGAGAUCUCCAUUUUUGGAGACUUCAGUGUUCACCACCAGCUUUUGGCUUUCCUCUCCCUUCACUGACCAUCCUGGUGAACUAGCUCUCAACUUUGCUAUUCUCUACGACCUAGAGCAACUGGUGCAACACCCUCCUCGUAUUCCUGACCGUCUUAGAGAUACGCCCAACAUUCUUGACCUUUUCCUAACCUCUUAUCCUUCUGCCUAUGCUGUUAUUCUCUCUUCUCCAUUGGGCUUCUCUGAUCAUAAUCUCAUCUUGUCUUAUCACUCUAAUCCCUGUGGGGACCUGAGGAGGUAUUCUGCUGAUAUUCCUUAGAAUGACUUCUGCUUCCAUGACAGAGACCCGUCUAUGUGUGCCGAGUGCAUAACAGAGGUGAUAGUGUCUGGUAUGGAGGCGUACAUUACUCACUUUUUUUCUCGACCUAAACCUUCCAAACCUUGGUUUAACACAACCUGUACUCGUGUUAUACAUGAUAGAGGUGGUACUUGAGCCUUCCAUCACCACAAUCUCAUACACUUUGUAUUUGUGCCAGGAACGAUGUGAAGUCCAACAUCCAAACAAGCCCCAACUAACCAAAAACUCCUUUAUUAAUAGAAAGUGUCAAAAUCUUUCAAUAUCUAACUCCCCUCGUGAACUCUGGCAUCUAGCCAAAAAUAUCUCCAAUAACUUUGCUUCUUCUUCUUUCCCUCCUUUAGUUCAACCAAAUGGCACCACUGCUAUCACAUCUAUCUCUAAAGCUGAACUCCUCGCUCAAGCCUUUGCAAAAAAAACUCUACCUUGGACGAUUCAGGGCUUCUUCCUCCCUUUCCUGCACCCUCUGACAACUUCAUGCUACCUAUUAAAAUUCUUUGCAGUGAUGUUUCCCAUGCCUUGCUGGCCUAAACCCUCAGAAGGCUUAUGGACCUGAUGGGGAUCCCUCCUAUUUUUCUCCGAAACUGUGCCUCCGUGCUUGCACCUUGACUAGUCAAACUCUUUCAACUUUAUCUGUCAACAUCUAUCUUUCCUUCUUGCUGGAGGUUUGCCUACAUUCAGCCUGUUCCUAAAAAGGGUGACCGUUCUAAUCUCUCAAACUACGUCCUAUUGCUUUUAUUUCCUGCCUAUCUAAAGUUUUUUAAUCUAUCCUCAACAGGAAGAUUCUUAAAUAUCUAUCACUUCACAACCUUCUAUCUGAUCGCCAGUAUGGGUUCCGUCAAGGCCGCUCUACUGGUGAUCUUCUGGCUUUCCUUACUGAGUGUUGGUCAUCCUCUUUUAGAGAUUUUGGUGAAACUUUUGCUGUUGCCUUGGAUAUAUCAAAAGCUUUUGAUAGUCUGGCACAAAGCUUUGAUUUCCAAACUACUUUCCCACAGUUUCUAUCCUUCUCCCUGUAACUUCACCUCAAGUUUUCUUUUUGUCUAUUCUAUUGCUGCUGUGGUACACGGUCACUGUUCUUUUCCUAAAUCCAUUAACAGUGGUGUUCCUCAGGGUUCUGUCCUGUCACCCACUCUCUUCUUAUUAUUCAUCAAUGACUUUCUAAACCAAAACUUCUUGUCCUAUCCACUUAUGUGCUGAUAAUACCACCCUGCACUUUUCCUCAUCUUUUCAUAGACGUCCAUCCCUUCAGGAAGUAAACAUUUCACGCAGGGAAGCAACAGAACGCUUGGCUUCUGAUCUUUCUAAAAUUUCUGACCGGGGCAGAGCAAACUUGGUAUUGUUUAAUGCCUCAAAAACUCAUUUGCUCCAUCUAUCAACACGACACAACCUUCCAGACAACUAUUCCCUCUUCUUCAGUGACACUCAACUGUCCCCCUCUUCUACACCGAACAUCCUCAGUCUGUCCUUUACUUAUAAUCUGAACUGGAAACUUCACAUCUCAUCUCCAGCUAAACAACAUCUAUAAAGUUAGGCGUUCUGAGUCGUUUCCGCCAGUUUUUCUCACCCCCUCAGCUGCUAACUCUGUACAGGGGCCUUAUCUGUCCAUGCAUGGAUUAUGCUUCACAUGUCUUGGGGGUUCCACUCAUACCGCUCUUCUAGACAGGGUGGAAUCAAAAGCUUUUCGUCUCAUCAACUCCUCUCCUCUAAGUGACUGUCUUCAGCCUCUUUCUCAUCGCGGCUAUUUUGCAUCUCUAGCUGUCUUCUACCGCUAUUUUCAUGCUAACUGCUCUUCUGAUCUUGCUAACUGCAUGCCUCCCCUCCUCCCGAGGCCUCGCUGCACAAGGCUUUCUUCUUUCUCUCACCACUAUUCUAUCCACCUCUCUAAUGCAAGAGCUAAUCAGUAUUCUCAAUCAUUCAUCCCUUUCUCAGGUAAAUUCUGGAAAUCCCUGCCUGCUUCUGUAUUUCCACCUUCCUAUGACUUGAAUUCCUUCAAGAGGGAGAUUUCAAGACACUUAUCCUUCAUUUUUUUAAUACUUCUUUGGAACCUUUUCUGGAACUGGCAUCUCAGUGGUUUUUUUUUGUUGGGGGGGGGAGGAUUUUUGUUGCCCUUGGCCAGUGUCCCUCCUACAUAAAAAAAAAAAAGAGAACUAUCCCAUCUUUAAAGAUACUCAUUUGUUCCCCUCUUCUGCAAUAAAACAUCCUCGGUCUGUCCUUUUCUUAUAAUCUAAACUGUAAACUUCACAUCUCACGUCUAGAUAAAACAGCUUCUUUGAAGUUAGGUGUUCUGAGACGUCUCCGCCAGUUUUCCUCCCCCCAACCCAACUGCUAUCUCUGUACAAGGGCUUUAUCCGCCCAUGUAUGGGGUAUGCUUCACAUGUGUGGGGGGGUUCCACUCAUACCGCUGUUUUAGACAGGAUGGAAUCAAAAGCUUUUCGUCUCAUCAACUCCUUUCCUCUAACUGACUGUCUUCAGCCUCUUUCUCAUCGCCGCAAUGUUGCAUCUCUUGCUAUCUUCUACCGCUAUUUUCAUGCUAAUUCCUCUUCAGCUCUUGCUAACUGCAUGCCUCCCCUCCUCCCGCGGCCUCGCUGCACAAGACUUUCUUCUUUCUCUCAUCCCUAUCCUGUCCACUCCUCUAAUGCAAAAAUUAAGCAAUAUUCUCAAUCAUUCAUCCCUUUCUCUGGUAAACUCUGGAACUCCCUGCCUGCUUUUGUAUUUCCACCUUCCCAUGACUUGAAUUCCUUCAAGUGGGAGGUUUCAAGACAUUUAUCCUUCAAUUUUCGAGCACCGCUUCGGACCCUGUUCGGGGACCGGCAUGUUAGUGUGCUUUUUUUUUUUCAUUAGAUUUUUGUUGCCCUUGGCCGGUGUCCCUCCUACUUAAAAAAAAUAGUAGUAGUAGUAGUAGUAAUAGUAGUAGUAGUAGUAGUAGUAGUAGUAGUAGUAGUAGUAGUGCCAGCAACAGCAUCAGCAACAACAAUGUUAGUAGUAGUAGUAGUAGUAGUAGUAGUAGUAGUAGUAGUAGUAGUAGUAGUAGUAGUAGCAGUAGCAGCAGCAGCAGCAGCAGCAGCAGUAGUAGUAGCAGUAGUAGUAGUAGUACUAGUAGUAGUAGUAGUAGUAGUAGUAGUAGUAGUAGUAGUAGUAGUAGUAUAGUAGUAUGUAGUAGUAGUAGUAGU